CCUACGGGAGGCAGCAGUGGGGAAUAUUGGACAAUGGGCGAAAGCCUGAUCCAGCAAUGCCGCGUGAGUGAUGAAGGCCUUAGGGUUGUAAAGCUCUUUUACCAGGGAUGAUAAUGACAGUACCUGGAGAAUAAGCUCCGGCUAACUCCGUGCCAGCAGCCGCGGUAAUACGGAGGGAGCUAGCGUUGUUCGGAAUUACUGGGCGUAAAGCGUACGUAGGCGGUUAUUCAAGUCAGAGGUGAAAGCCUGGAGCUCAACUCCAGAACUGCCUUUGAAACUAGAUAGCUAGAAUCUUGGAGAGGUGAGUGGAAUUCCGAGUGUAGAGGUGAAAUUCGUAGAUAUUCGGAAGAACACCAGUGGCGAAGGCGACUCACUGGACAAGUAUUGACGCUGAGGUACGAAAGCGUGGGGAGCAAACAGGAUUAGAUACCCUGGUAGUCCACGCCGUAAACGAUGAUAACUAGCUGUCGGCUCUACGAGCUUGAGUGGCGCNGCUACGACAUUAAGUUAGUUCCGUCCGUCGGGUAGGUACGGUCGCGAGAGUUAAACGUACGUAAGUUAAGUUAGUAGGCGUUGAGAGNGCCGACGGACGACGACGAGGGAGGAGG
rnacentral:rRNA from 1 species